UAUGGGAUUUGGCAUCUCUAUUGUAAAAGAGAAGAGCUUGAUGAUCAACCACUCCAGCUUUAAGCGAAUGACACGGGACCUCAUGGAGGUCCUAUUCUCAAGAGAGGAAAUGGCUGUAUUAUCUGUGUCAGGGAGAAAGUCAAACAUCAACCCCGAUACUGCUGCAAAACCUGCUCUGACAAAGAGAAAGGUGCUGGCGAUUAUUGCACAUGUCCAGAAGCAUUUUCCAGGAACGGAUAAGGCAUCCAUCAACACGGCCAUGGCAUACAAAUUAAAAGAUGUGGCCACAGAAGAAAUGUAAUUAGAAUGUUGAAGUUCACCCAAAAUCAAGCACUCUUGGCCGGCAACUCCGUUUUGCAACCCGGUGCUCACCACCGUUCUUUUUUUGAAAGUGGUGUGGCUGUUUUUGUUUUUUUUCAAUUUUUCUUGCAAACCCACACAUACAGUCACACAUCGCACGCACACACACAUCUAUACAUCCACAUACUCAUAACUCAUACACAUGCGUUAUUGUUUAAAUAAAUAAUUUCUAUUUUUACACUA